GUGGCUGUAGCUCAGUGGUAGAGCGCUUGCCUAGCACAUGUGAGGCACUGGGUUCAAUCCUCAGCACCACA
rnacentral:tRNA from 1 species